GUGGUCACGUGAUCACAUGAGAUUGUGAGCUCCAUUUCUCACUGUACUCUGCUCUGGCAAUGUCGACAAGCCUACCUCUUAAAGUUGUUAGUUUUACUUUAAAUGAACGGAGAGUGGAGCUGAAUGAUCCUAGUCCUAAUACCAGUCUAAACGAGUGGAUACGGUCCCAGUAUAGGCUCUCUGGGACCAAGAGAAUGUGCGGUGAAGGAGGCUGCGGGUGUUGCGUAGUCUCUGCAACUAAGACGGACCUCUUGAGUAACGAGCAGGUUACUCUAGCCAUCAACUCUUGCUUGUGUCCUUUGUAUUCCAUUAAUGGUUGGUCUAUUACUACGGUUGAAGGAAUUGGCAGCUCUAAGAAAGGGUUUCAUCCUAUACAGAAAAGGAUUGCAGAGUACAAUGGAACCCAGUGUGGUUACUGCACCCCUGGCAUGGUCAUGAGCAUGUACAGUUUACUUCAAAAGAUUCCCGAACCAACAAAGCAGAUUGUUGAGGACAAUUUUGAUGGUAAUAUCUGUCGUUGUACAGGUUAUCGUCCAAUAUUGGAUGCAAUGAAAUCCUUUGCAGUUGAUUCAGAUGAACCAGUAGUCGUUGAUAUUGAAGAGUUUUCUCCAGUGAAAUGCUCCCCAUGUCCUCUCCUUAUUGUCUCUGAUGAUUGGUUCACACAGUCAAGGGCCCAGUCAGACCCUCACUGGUAUCAACCCACAGGACUCUCUGAAGCUUUUAGCAUUUAUAAAGCUAAUCUUAAUUCAACUGUCAAGCUUGUUAAUGGGAACACUGGGAAAGGUGUUUUUAAGGAAACAGGUGACAUUAAUGUUUAUAUUGAAUUAAAUUCUAUGAAGGAGCUUUACUUUAUGCAAGUACAUGACACUUAUAUUAGUAUUGGUGCUGGCAUAUCAAUUAAUGGACUUAUUGAUAUUUUGCUGAGCAAUAAGGACAAGUCAAUCAGUUUCAAGCCUCUAGCUGAUCAUCUUAAAAAAAUUGCUAAUGUUCCAGUCAGAAAUAUAGGCACUUGGGCUGGUAACUUGAUGCUCACUCAUAAUAAUGAUAACUUUCCUUCUGACGUAUUCACAAUUAUGAAAGCAGCUGGUGCUACUUUAUCAAUUGCUCAUGAUGGUGGCACUGGUGAAUAUCCUUUGUCCGAUUUCUUGAGUUUGGAUAUGACAGAGAGAAUAAUUGUGUCUAUACAGAUUCCUUACUGCAGCCCCAACACUGUAUUCACCACAUUAAAAAUAAUGCCUCGCUCACAGAAUGCUCAUGCUUAUGUUAAUGCUGCAUUCAGUAUGGAAGUUAAUCCUGACAAUAUGCUAGUUAAAUCUUUACCUUCAUUUGUAUUUGGAGGCAUCAAUGAACAUGCAAUAUCAGCUCCAAUAACUGAGUCAUUCAUGAUUGGUAAGUCAUUGAAGGAUCUCAAUACACUGAAGGGGGCCCUAAAGAACCUUUCUAAUGAGAUCAGACCUAAUGCCCCUCCUGUAUCAGCUAGUCCUGGGUAUAGGAAGAGCCUUGCUCUAAGCCUGUUUUAUAAGUUUUAUCUUGAGGCUCUUGGUAGUGCUAACAUUAAUCCACUCUACCAGUCAGGAGCUGUACCUUAUGUUCGUCCAGUGUCCCAAGGGUCCCAGUCAUACAGCACUGACUCCAGCAAGUAUCCUGUGAAUCAACCACUACCCAAACUGACUGCUACUCUACAGGCUUCAGGUGAGGCAGAGUAUACUACUGAUAUUCCACGUCGUCCUGGAGAACUGGCUGCAGCAUUUGUACUCACUACUCAAGGUAAUGCAAAGAUAUUAUCAAUGGAAACGUCUGAAGCAAUGGCAGUUGAAGGUGCAGUAGCAAUAGUGUCUGCUAAAGACAUUCCUCAAAAUGGAAAGAAUGAUUUUAUGCUUGGAAUAGCUGGUGACCCUGAGAUUGUAUUUGCUACUGAUGUAUCAGAAUAUGCUGGUCAAGCAGUUGGACUAGCACUGGCUGAUACUCAAGAGCAUGCACUGAAAAUGGCCAAAGCUGUAACUCUUACCUACCAGAGUCAGGGGAAGCAGAUACUCACCAUACAAGAUGCUAUUGAUGCUAAAUCCUUUUAUGAUAAAGAGCCAGAUAUUGUUGUUGGAGAUGCUGAUGGUUCUAUUAAAGGAUCAGAUCACGUUGUUACUGGUGACAUUUAUUGUGAUACACAGUAUCAUUUCACUAUGGAGACUCAAACUGCAUUUGUAAUACCUGAGGAUGAUGGUUAUACAGUCUACAGCUCAAACCAGUGGGCUCAGUUAGGACAAUUUGCUGUUGCUGGCAUACUUGGAAUACCAGAAAACAAGGUUACAGUAGUCAUUAAAAGAGUGGGCGGUGCUUACGGGUCUAAAAUCAGUCGUGCCUCUCAGGUAGCAGCUGCCUGUGCUUUAGGAUCAUAUGUCACUCAAAGGCCAGUGAGGCUACACAUGGAUCUUGAGUCUAACAUGAAAAUGGUUGGGAAGAGAUACCCUUACUAUGCCAAAUACACUGUUGGUUGUACUAAGGCUGGGGUUCUAAAUGGGAUUAAAAUUGACGUGUUCACUGAUGCUGGCUGCAGUAGCAAUGACUCCUACUUACCUUAUGCACUAAGGAACCUUGAUAACACUUACAACUGCUCUAAUUGGUCAAUAACACAGACUACCUGUAGAACACACACUCCCAGUAAUACUUAUACAAGGGCACCUGGGUAUCUGCCUGGUGUGUUCAUUAUUGAGUCACUAAUGGAUGAUGUAGCUACCAAGAUAGGCAUGGAUAUCGAGGAAUUCAAGCAUGCCAACUUUUACAAGAAAGGAGACAUUUCUCUUCUGUCAUUCCCACCAAAGGGACAGGCUUUAACAUACUGUAAUAUUGAUGACCUCUGGCAACAAAUGAUGAAGACUGCUGAUGUCCAGGCUAGAAAAGACAAAAUCUCAGACUUUAACAAAGCUAACAGAUGGAGGAAGAGAGGGUUGUCUGUGGUCCCAUUGAGAUAUGGUCUAGAAUGGAAUGGGACUAAUAGCACUGUAUUGGUUAGUGUGUAUUCUGGGGAUGGAUCAGUCUCUGUUGUACAUGGAGGAGUUGAGAUAGGACAAGGAAUUAACACUAAAGUUGCACAGGUCACUGCCAGUACUCUUGGUAUUCCAUUGAGCUCAGUUACUGUUGUACCUACUAAUACAUUCACAAGCCCCAACAACACUACAACUGGUGGCAGCGUUACCAGUGAGAUCAACUGUAAAGGUGCACUGUUGGCUUGCCAGUCAUUAAAGCAAAGACUUGAUAAAGUGAAGGAAGGAUUGAUAUCAGAUGAUGUGUCUGAUCCCACCUGGCUACAAAUAGUACAAAAGGCUUUCUCUAGUGGAAUAGACCUCUCAGAGAAACACUAUGAGUUUGCUACUAAUGACUUAUUUGCUGCCUAUAAUGCUUAUGGGACCACAGUAACUGAAGUAGAGCUUGAUGUACUGACAGGACAAACUGAAAUAUUAAGAGUUGAUCUCUUAUAUGAUUGUGGAGACAGAUUGAUGUUGGGCAAGUUGAAGGUGCAUUUGUGAUGGGAUUGGGCUAUUUCUUAACUGAGAGAGUUGUCUAUGAUAAAGAUACAGGAGCACUGCUAACACAUAACACAUGGGAGUACAAGCCACCCACUACUAAAGAUAUUCCUAUUGAUUUCAGAGUUGAGCUGCUUAAAAAUGCACCAAAUCCUCUAGGAAUACUUGGCUCU
rnacentral:misc_RNA from 1 species